CGUGAGUAACACGUGGGCAACCUGCCCUUUGCACUGGGAUAGCCUCGGGAAACCGAGGUUAAUACCGGAUACUCCAUAUUUGUCGCAUGGCGAAUAUGGGAAAGCUCCGGCGGCAAAGGAUGGGCCCGCGGCCUGUUAGCUAGUUGGUGGGGUAGUGGCCUACCAAGGCAAUGAUGGGUAGCCGGGUUGAGAGACCGACCGGCCAGAUUGGGACUGAGACACGGCCCAGACUCCUACGGGAGGCAGCAGCC
rnacentral:rRNA from 1 species